AUGCCCUCGCCACGUUCUUCGGUCCGCUCGGUCGGCUCGGUUAAAGCCCGGACCGGACCGAAGUUUUGUCGGGCUGGAUUCCUAAGCUCGGACCGGCCGAUUUUUUCAGCGGGUCAGGACCGAGCCGGCCCGAGCCGAGCGGGCCACGAGCCGGACCGCGGGACCGGACCGGACCGUGUCGUCCACCCUGACAGCCAGCACAGCAAGCAAGUUCAGGCUGAACCGUCGGAGGUCGAUCGACCAAAUGGCUUUGGCGCCGGUGGAGUUCCUGGGCGCGAGGGACGGCAGGGAGGCGCUCUACUACGCCAUCAUACUGUGGCUGUCCGUCAUGUCGUGGAUCAUCUUCACCUGUGA
rnacentral:rRNA from 1 species